rnacentral:rRNA from 1 species
GUACCGUGAGGGAAAGAUGAAAAGAACUUUGGAAAGAGAGUUAAACAGUACGUGAAAUUGCUGAAAGGGAAACGCUUGAAGUCAGUCGCGUUGGCUAGGGAUCAGCCUUACUCUGGUGGGGUGUACUUCCUUGUCGACGGGUCAGCAUCAGUUUUGGUUGCUGGAUAAAGGCUAGGGGAAUGUGGCACCUUCGGGUGUGUUAUAGCCCUUGGUCAGAUACAGUGGCUGGAACUGAGGAACUCAGCACGCGCAAGCUGUGCUUAGGAUGCUGGCAAAAUGGCUUUAAUCGACCCGUCUUGAAACACGGACCAAGGAGUCUAACAUGCUUGCGAGUGUUUGGGUGGAAAACCCGAGCGCGUAAUGAAAGUGAAAGUUGGGAUCCUUGUCGCGAGGAGCACCGACGCCCGGAGCAGAACUUUUGGGACGCAUCCGCGGUAGAGCACGUAUGUUGGGACCCGAAAGAUGGUGAACUAUGCCUGAAUAGGGCGAAGCCAGAGGAAACUCUGGUGGAGGCUCGUAGCGAUUCUGACGU